rnacentral:rRNA from 1 species
GACGAACGCUGGCGGCGUGCCUAAAACAUGCAAGUCGAACGGGGGAGCAAUCCCCAGUGGCGAACGGCGGAGUAAUACAUGAGGAACGUGCCCUGAAGACCGGGAUAGUCAUUGGAAACGAUGGGUAAUACCGGAUGUGGCGGAAUCUUGGCAUCUUGAUUCCAUUAAACGGUUUUUCGCUUCAGGAGCGCCUCAUGGCCUAUCAGGUAGUUGGUGGGGUAAUGGCCUACCAAGCCGACGACGGGUAGCGGGUCUGAGAGGAUGAUCCGCUCGAGUGGGACUGAGACACGGCCCACACACCUACGGGUGGCAGCAGUUGGGAAUCUUGCACAAUGGGGGGAACCCUGAUGCAGCGACGCCGCGUGGAGGAUGAAGGGUCUAGGCUCGUAAACUCCUUUUUUCGGGAAAGACUUAGGACGGUACCCGAAGAAUAAGCACCGGCUAACUACGUGCCAGCAGCCGCGGUAAGACGUAGGGUGCAAGCGUUGUCCGGAUUUACUGGGCGUAAAGAGCGCGUAGGCGGCUCGUUAAGUGUGAAGUGAAAUCUCUGGGCUCACCCCAGAAACUGCUUUACAUACUGGCGAGCUUGAGGAUUGGAGAGGUUUGUGGAAUUCCUGGUGUAGCGGUGAAAUGCGUUGAUAUCAGGAGGAACACCCAUGGCGAAGGCAGCAAACUGGCCAAUUCCUGACGCUGAGGCGCGAAAGCGUGGGUAGCAAACAGGAUUAGAUACCCUGGUAGUCCACGCCCUAAACGAUGGAUUCUAGGCGUCGGGGGUAUCGACCCCCCCGGUGCCGCAGCU